rnacentral:rRNA from 1 species
UAGUGAGUUUGAUCCUGGCUCAGAACGAACGCUGGCGGCAUGCCUAACACAUGCAAGUCGAACGAGACCUUCGGGUCUAGUGGCGCACGGGUGCGUAACGCGUGGGAACCUGCCUUUAGGUUCGGAAUAACUCAGAGAAAUUUGAGCUAAUACCGGAUAAUGUCUUCGGACCAAAGAUUUAUCGCCUUUAGAUGGGCCCGCGUAAGAUUAGCUAGUUGGUGGGGUAAAGGCCUACCAGGCGACGAUCUUAGCUGGUCUGA